rnacentral:snoRNA from 1 species
GGAUGUUAUGAUGAUGGGCAAACUGUUCAACUGCUCUGAAUGGGCUGAGUGAAAAUAGCCUUUCUGAACAUCC